UACGAAGGGGGCUAGCGUUGCUCGGAAUCACUGGGCGUAAAGCGCACGUAGGCGGAUCGUUAAGUCAGGGGUGAAAUCCUGGAGCUCAACUCCAGAACUGCCUUUGAUACUGGCGACCUUGAGUUCGGGAGAGGUGAGUGGAACUGCGAGUAUAGAGGUGAAAUUCGUAGAUAUUCGCAAGAACACCAGUGGCGAAGGCGGCUCACUGGCCCGAUACUGACGCUGAGGUGCGAAAGCGUGGGGAGCAAACAGG
rnacentral:rRNA from 1 species